AUUGAACGCUGGCGGCAUGCCUUACACAUGCAAGUCGAACGGCAGCACGGGAGCAAUCCUGGUGGCGAGUGGCGAACGGGUGAGUAAUGUAUCGGAACGUACCUUUCAGUGGGGGAUAACGUAGCGAAAGUUACGCUAAUACCGCAUAUUCUGUGAGCAGGAAAGCAGGGGAUCGCAAGACCUUGCGCUGAUUGAGCGGCCGAUAUCAGAUUAGCUAGUUGGUGAGGUAAAGGCUCACCAAGGCGACGAUCUGUAGCGGGUCUGAGAGGAUGAUCCGCCACACUGGAACUGAGACACGGUCCAGACUCCUACGGGAGGCAGCAGUGGGGAAGUUUUGGACAAUGGGCGCAAGCCUGAUCCAGCCAUGCCGCGUGAGUGAAGAAGGCC
rnacentral:rRNA from 1 species